ensembl:lncRNA
GUCAGAAUACCAUCCAAGGUGUAAUUUACUCUGAGGUCAAUUGGAAGUGAGGUCACGCAGCAGUUGCAAAUCUGCUUCCUAGUUCUCACGACCUGUGUGCCAAACAAUUGUCAUUAAUAAGAUUAAAUUGGCAUAGGAAAAAAUAUGGAUGCACUUAUAGGGAGACUUGUAAAGCUGUAAGAGUCUUUAAGAGCUGGCUUGCACAGUAGUUAGUGCCUGGAUACUUUUUAGCUCCUGGUUAAUUCUGCUCAGUUGCUCUAAUCAGAACAGUCGUUUAUCAGUUUUUCCAACUUGUGUUGAAAUUUCAGAAGGAUACUGUCCAACAGAGGAUGGCAAAGUUUAUUUCUUCAGGUCAGUGUCUUUUAUUUUGUAUUUUUUUAUCUGAAGAGACCAAGGAAUCCCAAGCUCUUAUUGUCUCCGUCUGUCUUUUUGUUUUGGUUUUUUUUUGUUGUUGUUGUUUGUUUUGUUUUGUUUUGUUUUGCUUCAUGGGGAAGAGUUGUGUGGUUCAAAGAAAACACGAAUAUUUUUCAGUUUGGAUGUUUUAGGAGCUGCUGUUGCUGUGGAAUAAUAUGCAAGAAAUGUCAGUUGUAGGAUGUUUUCCAAAACACAAAUUGUAUUCUUCUCUGCUCUAUGUGAUUUAGGAACCAUGCAGUCCUGGGGAAGGCAAGUCCAUGGAAGAAAGCAACAGUGUUUGACAAUGGAUACCAAAUGCUUGCAAAACUACACUUCGUAGGAGGAACAGCUCUUUUCCUUAGCUGAAGUCUCUGCAAACAUUUUACCCAACUAUGAACCCUAAGGAAUAGCAUGAUGACUAUUAUAAUGCAACAGACAAUUUUAGCUAGAGCUUGGAAACCAGUGUCUUCAAGUGUUUCAAGAAGAAGUUACAAGAUUGGUUGAAGUCUAUAAUGGAAAGUAAAAUGCUCUAAAUAAACAUAAUAAAACUAUACCCU